CUGCCGUCCACAGAGGCUCGGCUAUUUGCACACAGAGGGAGCGAUAUCAUUUGUGGCUUUGAAGAAACAAAGGAUUGACACAGCGAGGGUCUCCCUCUGGACAUUCUUUUCCCUGGGGCCCAGGCCAGUCUGCAGGGCCGCACUCCCAGCAGCUUCUGAGGGAACCCCAGCUUUGUUGCAGACAGUGCUCUCCCAGGAUUGUGGUCAUUUCAUCCGGCAGCUGAAGACCCGCGCAGCGCCCCCCACCGCCACCCCCAGGUAACUGCACAGAACAGCAAGAAGGCGCUUGGGGGAGGUGGAGAAUUCCGCUCCUCAUGGAAUUUGGAGAGCAAGCUUGAGCUGGGAAUUCAGC